rnacentral:rRNA from 1 species
GACGAACGCUGGCGGCGUGCUUAACACAUGCAAGUCGAACGGAAAGGCCUCUUUCGGGGGGUACUCGAGUGGCGAACGGGUGAGUAACACGUGAGUAACCUGCCCUUGACUUUGGGAUAACUUCAGGAAACUGGGGCUAAUACCGGAUAGGAGCUCCUGCUGCAUGGUGGGGGUUGGAAAGUUUCGGCGGUUGGGGGUGGACUCGCGGCUUAUCAGCUUGUUGGUGGGGUAGUGGCUUACCAAGGCUUUGACGGGUAGCCGGCCUGGGAGGGUGACCGGCCACAUUGGGACUGGGAUACGGCCCAGACUCCUACGGGAGGCAGCAGUGGGGAAUAUUGCACAAUGGGUGGAAGCCUGAUGCAGCAACGCCGUGUGCGGGAUGACGGCCUUCGGGUUGGAAACCGCUUUCGCUCAUGACGAAGCUUUGUGUGACGGUAGUGGGUAAAGAAGCACCGGCUAACUACGUG